rnacentral:rRNA from 1 species
GCACGAGUCGGUGACGCGGGCGCGGGAGGAGGGAGGGAGCUAGCGGUGUUGUGAAUCACUGGGAUGAAAGCGUGUGUAGGUUGGUUGGUAAGUGAGGGAUGAAAGCCCAGGGCGUAACGCUGGAACUGCUAUUUAGACUGGCUGUCGGGAAGGCGGGAGAGGUUGGUGGAACUCCCAGUGUAGAGGGGAAAUUCGCAGAUAUUGGGAAGAACACCGGUGGCGAAGGCGACCAACUGGUCCGACAUUGACACUGAGGCACGAAAGCGUGGGUAGCAAACAGGAUUAGAUACCCGAGUCGUC